rnacentral:lncRNA from 1 species
UUCAUAUUAAUUUAAGGGAUAAUUUCAUACACAUUUUUAUAAACAUAUUGAAUAACAAAUAUUUUUCUAUAAAGUUUAAUUUUUUAUAUUUAUCUUUCAAAAAAUCAUAAUGGUUUCAAGUGUAAUAUCCAUUAGAAAAAUGUAGAUAAUCAUAGAUAAAAUACUUAAUUUUGAUUAGUGAGUAAAGAUAAAUUGACCUUUUGAUCCCUCUUCUUUUUCUUUUUCUUCUUCCUCCUCUCCCUCUUCUCCCCUUCAUACUAGUUUCGAAUAUGUAAUUAGGGUUUUUCCGUCUUCACUCAUCCAAGCUUUGUCCAAAUCGAGUGCCGAGAAAUAGGUAUUAAACAGGUAAAAGAGAAGAGGAGUGAGAGAAGGGGUAGAGAAAAAGGUUACAACAAUAGUAGAUUCAGUUAGUUUUUAUAAAGAAAGAAGAUAACCAUUAAAAAUUUUUGGAAAGAUAUUUUUACAUGAUCUAACAAUUUAGACUUUUAGAAUGAUAUAUUCACAAUGGCAAAAUUGAUAUUUUUAUUUUUUUUAAUUAAAAAAAUGAACAGUCAAACCAAACUUUUUUAAAAAUAAAUUUGAAAAACUUAAAUUUUAUAGGAAUAUAUAUUUACAGAUAGCUAUAUGAAAU